rnacentral:rRNA from 1 species
GAUGAACGCUGGCGGCGUGCCUAAUACAUGCAAGUCGAGCGAACGGACGAGAAGCUUGCUUCUCUGAUGUUAGCGGCGGACGGGUGAGUAACACGUGGAUAACCUACCUAUAAGACUGUGAUAACUUCGGGAAACCGGAGCUAAUACCGGAUAAUAUUUUGAACCGCAUGGUUCAAAAGUGAAAGACGGUCUUGCUGUCACUUAUAGAUGGAUCCGCGCUGCAUUAGCUAGUUGGUAAGGUAACGGCUUACCAAGGCAACGAUGCAUAGCCGACCUGAGAGGGUGAUCGGCCACACUGGAACUGAGACACGGUCCAGACUCCUACGGGAGGCAGCAGUAGGGAAUCUUCCGCAAUGGGCGAAAGCCUGACGGAGAAACGCCGCGUGAGUGAUGAAGGUCUUCGGAUCGUAAAACUCUGUUAUUAGGGAAGAACAUAUGUGUAAGUAACUGUGCACAUCUUGACGGUACCUAAUCAGAAAGCCACGGCUAACUACGUG